CACGUUGAAACACUGGUUCUCAUCUGAUUACAAAAGUUAAGCAACAUUAAGCCUGGUUAGCACUUAGAUGGAUGACCUCUUGGGAAUAUCAGGUGCU